UACACUCCUACGGGAGGCAGCAGUGGGGAAUAUUGGACAAUGGGCGCAAGCCUGAUCCAGCCAUGCCGCGUGAGUGAUGAAGGCCCUAGGGUUGUAAAGCUCUUUCACCGGUGAAGAUAAUGACGGUAACCGGAGAAGAAGCCCCGGCUAACUUCGUGCCAGCAGCCGCGGUAAUACGAAGGGGGCUAGCGUUGUUCGGAUUUACUGGGCGUAAAGCGCACGUAGGCGGACUAUUAAGUCAGGGGUGAAAUCCCGGGGCUCAACCCCGGAACUGCCUUUGAUACUGGUAGUCUUGAGUUCGAGAGAGGUGAGUGGAAUUCCGAGUGUAGAGGUGAAAUUCGUAGAUAUUCGGAGGAACACCAGUGGCGAAGGCGGCUCACUGGCUCGAUACUGACGCUGAGGUGCGAAAGCGUGGGGAGCAAACAGGAUUAGAUACCCGAGUAGUCCCAUGAU
rnacentral:rRNA from 1 species